rnacentral:tRNA from 1 species
GGCGCGUCCGCCUAAGUGGUAGGGCACCGGUCUGUAAAAUCGGGAUAACGGGUUCAACUCCCGUACGCGCCA